GAGACUCUGUGCGCGUGCAUAUCAAUAAGCGGAGGAAAAGAAACUAACAAGGAUUCCCUUAGUAACGGCGAGUGAAGCGGGAAGAGCUCAAAUUUGAAAUCUUCAAGGUUUUACCUUGACGAAUUGUAGUUUAAAGAAGUGUUUUCUGUUGAAGUUUUGGUAAAAGUUCUUUGGAAUAGGACAUCAUAGAGGGUGAGAAUCCCGUAUUUGACCGUUACUUUCCAGCUGUGUGAUACACUUUCAAAGAGUCGGAUUGUUUGGGAAUGCAGUCCAAGAUGGGUGGUAAAUUUCAUCUAAAGCUAAAUAUUGGCGAGAGACCGAUAGCGAACAAGUACCGUGAGGGAAAGAUGAAAAGAACUUUGAAAAGAGAGUUAAACAGUACGUGAAAUUGUCAAAAGGGAAGCGUUUGACACCAGUGUUGUUUAGUUGAAAAUCAAUUCAAUAGUUUUUGAUUCUAAGUAGUAUUGACUUCAUCAGCUUGCUGCUUUCUUCUCAGAAAUUAUUGAAUGCACUUUUCAGUUAACAAGUCAACAUCAAUUUCUUUUGUUGUAAAAGGGUAAGAGGAAGGUGGCUUGCGCUUCGGCUCAAGUGUUUAUAGCCUUUUAUCUCUGCAAUCGGAGAGAUUGAGGUCUGCAGCGUAGAUCCUUCGGGGUUAGAUACAUUGGUGCUAAGCUAUAGUUCUUGUAUAGACAACUUGUUGACUAUGAUCAGUCCUGUAGCUUACUCGCUGAUGCUAUUUUACCUACGCUUAGGAUGUUGACAGCAGUAUAGACUGU
rnacentral:rRNA from 1 species